AGUCGACGAGUUCUCGUUGAUGAUCGGUGCUUGCACCGAGAUUCAACAUGCGCUCUAGUGGCGGACGGGUGAGUAACACGUGGGUAACCUGCCCUUAAGUGGGGGAUAACAUUUGGAAACAGAUGCUAAUACCGCAUAGAUCCAAGAACCGCAUGGUUCUUGGCUGAAAGAUGGCGUAAGCUAUCGCUUUUGGAUGGACCCGCGGCGUAUUAGCUAGUUGGUGAGGUAACGGCUCACCAAGGCGAUGAUACGUAGCCGAACUGAGAGGUUGAUCGGCCACAUUGGGACUGAGACACGGCCCAAACUCCUACGGGAGGCAGCAGUAGGGAAUCUUCCACAAUGGACGCAAGUCUGAUGGAGCAACGCCGCGUGAGUGAAGAAGGCUUUCGGGUCGUAAAACUCUGUUGUUGGAGAAGAAUGGUCGGCAGAGUAACUGUUGUCGGCGUGACGGUAUCCAACCAGAAAGCCACGGCUAACUACGUGCCAGCAGCCGCGGUAAUACGUAGGUGGCAAGCGUUACCCGGAUUUAUUGGGCGUAAAGCGAGCGCAGGCGGUUUUUUAAGUCUGAUGUGAAAGCCCUCGGCUUAACCGAGGAAGCGCAUCGGAAACUGGGAAACUUGAGUGCAGAAGAGGACAGUGGAACUCCAUGUGUAGCGGUGAAAUGCGUAGAUAUAUGGAAGAACACCAGUGGCGAAGGCGGCUGUCUGGUCUGUAACUGACGCUGAGGCUCGAAAGCAUGGGUAGCGAACAGGAUUAGAUACCCUGGUAGUCCAUGCCGUAAACGAUGAAUGCUAGGUGUUGGAGGGUUUCCGCCCUUCAGUGCCGCAGCUAACGCAUUAAGCAUUC
rnacentral:rRNA from 1 species